AUGUUAGGGCUUGGAGGGACUUUGGAGGGGGCCAUCGGGGUGUACCCUGGAGCUUGUCCGAGGGUUGGGGGAGAAGACAAUGGAGGAGACUCUGAGAUGUGGCCCUUUGCGGAUGGGGGAGUCGGGGCGCGGUCCUCUGCCGGGGUGCCAACGAGGAGCGGGGAAGCAGUUAGUCCUGUCGGGUCGGCGGAGGUCAGGGGGAGGCGACAGUGGGUAGUGGGCUGGCCGGAACUUGGAAGCCAUUGUUCAGUUCCCGAGGAAUUCAGCGCACCACUGAGGAAGGUCUUAAGAGAUCUGUGGAGGGUCACAGCUAGGGGACUCCCUGAGGUCCUGUCUCCAGCCUUGAUCGAGGGGAAGGCACCAGAAGGCAGACCUCACCCACCAUGUCAACGUUCAGGCAGGAAGAUGUGGAAGGCUACUACGAGAUGGGGGAGGAGCUGGGCAGCCUUUGAAAUCUGGUGUGUGAUACACGUUCCCAGCACAGCUCGGUUCGGACUGGCAUGUGGGCCACCGAGUGGCUGUCAUCUCGGACAGCACGGCUCCGUCCGAUGAUCCUGAACGUACUCGGACAUCCGUGAGGUGAAGGGUUAGAGGCACAGGACAGCGUGCACGCCGUGCUGCAUUUUGUAUGAAUUACAGAUGUUGUUUGGACGUCCCAAGGUCUGGUCUGUCUUUCUGUUACUUGCGUUCAUCUACGGAAGGACCUACAAGGCAGGUGCGCUUGCCUUCCCCGUUUUAUAAAGAAGUGGAGGCCGAGAGGAGGGAAGCAGCUUGCCCCAGGCCACACGGACCGGAGGUGGGCCUUAGGCUUCUGCUUGCCCCCCUGGAAGAGGCCCAUCAGAUGUCCCAGUGAGGCGGAGACCUGCACGUUGGGAAGAGUACGCAUCCUUGUGCCCCGGACAGCGUCUUCUCUGGUGCUCGCUCCGCACCUCGGCAGGUGGCUGCCGCAGCAAGCUCUCGGCUUCAGAGCAGGGUCUUCCCCGAGGCUAAUUGCUGACUGUCUUUGGGGGAUCAGCUGCUGGGCAUCCUCGUGGUGAGGAGGACCACAAAUAAAGCAGGGCCUCGUUUCCUUGUCCCAGGGCGAUGGGGCUGCACGAAGUGGAAGCACGUUUCUUUGUGUGUGUGCUUAGGAAGGGUUGGGGGGUUCUUCGUAGUCCACCUUCACACCAGUAGUCUUGGGGAGCAAGUCAGUCUGUGGGUUGACACGCGUGGCCUUCCACUGUGGGCGGGGGGCCGCGAACUGCAGAGAUGCGCGCUCUCCCGGGCCUGCAGGCGGAGGUCCAAGAUGGAGGUGUCCGCACUGCUGGUUCCUGCUGCGGUGCCUCUCCUCGGCAUGCACACAGCCGUCCUCCCUGGGCCUCACAGGGCUGUCUGUCUGUGUGCAUACGUCCUCCUUUCCUCUUACAAGGACACCGGUCAGAUUGGAUUCAGCCCACUUCUCUGAGCUCAUUUUAUCUGAAUCACCUCCUAGAGGUCCUGUCUCCCGUUCCCGUGAGCUCUGCCUUACUCCUCUUCAUUUGUUCAGCUUAGAGCAAAGCACGGGAAACCAGUCUUUGUAUUUGAAAAUGAGGCCCCAUGUCCAGCACUUAGCAUA
ensembl:lncRNA